rnacentral:rRNA from 1 species
AGGUGACCUGCGGAAGGAUCAUUACCGAGUUUUCGGGCUUCGGCUCGACUCUCCCACCCUUUGUGAACGUACCUCUGUUGCUUUGGCGGCUCCGGCCGCCAAAGGACCUCCAAACUCCAGUCAGUAAACGCAGACGUCUGAUAAACAAGUUAAUAAACUAAAACUUUCAACAACGGAUCUCUUGGUUCUGGCAUCGAUGAAGAACGCAGCGAAAUGCGAUAAGUAAUGUGAAUUGCAGAAUUCAGUGAAUCAUCGAAUCUUUGAACGCACAUUGCGCCCCUUGGUAUUCCGGGGGGCAUGCCUGUUCGAGCGUCAUUACAACCCUCAAGCUCUGCUUGGAAUUGGGCACCGUCCUCACUGCGGACGCGCCUCAAAGACCUCGGCGGUGGCUGUUCAGCCCUCAAGCGUAGUAGAAUACACCUCGCUUUGGAGUGGUUGGCGUCGCCCGCCGGACGAACCUUCUGAACUUUUCUCAAGGUUGACCUCGGAUCAGGUAGGGAUACCCGCUGAACUUAAGCAUAUCAAUAAGCGGAGGA